UUCCUCAGCUUUCCUGACAAUUUCCCAAUAUGUUCUCCAGCUAUGUGCCGAGACUGACCUUUUCCUCCCUAGGAGAUAUCAGUUAAGCCCACAGGAAAGGCACAUCUGUCUCAUUGCUGAGAGCUGGCCAGGAGCUCUGCAAAUGUUGGCUGCUCUGUCAGGAUAACUGGAGAAGGCCAAAAGCACAAGUGCGGGAAUACUACAAGAAAUGCUUACAGAUGGACUGAUUCUCUCUAGAUGGGAUUGAAAUAGCUGAACAUGUGCAGUCUGUACUUCUGCAGAUGAAAGGUCUUUACCUCCAGUCAGGAUUGAUCUUACAUGAAGAACAACAGAGGAACACUUGAAGAGUGUUCCUGAAUUUACUUGCAACAAGAUGAUCUGAAAACCAUGCUUCUUGUCUGUGUCAUGCUCCUGAAAAUAUGCUGCAUGUCAGACAAACACAGAAAGGCUUGCUCUUGUUUAAGAAGCAGAAGCAGGGAAAACCCACAAAGAAAUAAUCUUAAAAAGCACAGGCCAGUACAGGUACAAAGGUAAAGAAAACUACUGAUAUUCUGGUGAAGAUCUGAAGGUAGAGCGAGGCAUUUUCCCAGUCUCCCUGCAGGCCUGAUGUGACUACAUGCAUGGAACAGGCUGUGCAGAGGUGUGCCAGCCUGGAGUGCCUUGGCACGGAAAGAGCAGACCUACA